rnacentral:rRNA from 1 species
UACGGGGGGGGCAAGCGUUGUUCGGAAUUACUGGGCGUAAAGGGCUCGUAGGCGGCCAACUAAGUCGGACGUGAAAUCCCUCGGCUCAACCGGGGAACUGCGUCCGAUACUGGAUGGCUUGAAUCCGGGAGAGGGAUGCGGAAUUCCAGGUGUAGCGGUGAAAUGCGUAGAUAUCUGGAGGAACACCGGUGGCGAAGGCGGCAUCCUGGACCGGCAUUGACGCUGAGGCGCGAAUGCCAGGGGAGCAAACGGG